GUCGAACGGGAAAUACUUUAUUGAAACUUCGGUGGAUUUAAUUUAUUUCUAGUGGCGGACGGGUGAGUAACGCGUGGGUAACCUGCCUUAUACCGGGGGAUAACAGCCAGAAAUGGCUGCUAAUACCGCAUAAGCGCACAGAACCGCAUGGUUUGGUGUGAAAAACUCCGGUGGUAUAAGAUGGACCCGCGUUGGAUUAGCUAGUUGGCAGGGCAGCGGCCUACCAAGGCGACGAUCCAUAGCCGGCCUGAGAGGGUGAACGGCCACAUUGGGACUGAGACACGGCCCAGACUCCUACGGGAGGCAGCAGUGGGGAAUAUUGCACAAUGGGGGAAACCCUGAUGCAGCGACGCCGCGUGAAGGAAGAAGUAUCUCGGUAUGUAAACUUCUAUCAGCAGGGAAGAUAAUGACGGUACCUGACUAAGAAGCCCCGGCUAACUACGUGCCAGCAGCCGCGGUAAUACGUAGGGGGCAAGCGUUAUCCGGAUUUACUGGGUGUAAAGGGAGCGUAGACGGCGCAGCAAGUCUGAUGUGAAAGGCAGGGGCUUAACCCCUGGACUGCAUUGGAAACUGCUGUGCUUGAGUGCCGGAGGGGUAAGCGGAAUUCCUAGUGUAGCGGUGAAAUGCGUAGAUAUUAGGAGGA
rnacentral:rRNA from 1 species